rnacentral:lncRNA from 1 species
GGGAUCUGUGAGAGGCAGGGCUGCAUCCAAGCAUGCUGCAGGUUCCAUCCAUCCGAUAACACAAGGGGCAGUGACUGUACAAGCUGGGAGCCGCUCACUUCAAUGUGAUGGACACAGACACAGGGCAUCACCUCUGCUUUCCAGGAAGGAAGAAGAAAGAUGAAGAGCAAGAGGAGUGAGCCAUCCCCUGUUGCAAGAAAAAGAAAAGCCUUGGUGUUGGUGCUAGAAGCCUCCAGCACCCUGGGAGCCUCCUGGAGCAGAAGCUCUCUGCUCGCCACAUUGCAGCUGCAGGGACUUGUGCAGUAAGGACCCCAAACUUGUAGGUGGGAGAAUUAGAGGAGCCUAGACCCAGAGCUGGACCCAGGGCCUGCUGGUGAAUGGCCCUCCAAAUCUUAAGGCUCUCUUGAAGCACUUGCUGCUGCAGUGGGCAAUGGUCAAUCAACUGGCUCACCAAAUACCACAUGGGAUUACUGGUUAAUGCAGCUCGAGUAGAGCAGCAGCAAUAAAUUGAGGCAUUCUGGUGUGAGGCCUGGGAGUGCGGUGGUGAAAGUAACUCUUCCAGCCUCUCCAGCUGAUGGGCCAGCUUCAUUCUGCCCUGAGGGGCCCAUGGAGGCUCGAGAACUAACAAGUCCCUUAGUACACGGUGAAUGCUCUCCAUCCACCUGGUUCUAAUUCUUAGUCCCGAUUCUGCCUCUAGGACACCGAGUCCUGGUGUCUGUGCAAAAGAGUUGCCUGCUCCAGAUGGAUGGGUACAUUGAGUGCUCAGCUCAUUUCACCCUUGGGGCUUCCUGUGAAGCAAAGUGGAUUAAAGAGUCGUCCCCCCCCCACCUCCCACAGUUACUCCUAAACCCCAUACCUGCAAGCAUGAUCCUAUUUAGUGUCCACAGAGGCCAUUAAGGAUCUGAAGAUGUGAUCAUCUUACAACGAGGACAGUCUGUAAUCUACUGCCAGGGUCUAAAUGAGAAAGGAAAGAAGCUCUAAGCCAGACACAGGGAGAAGGCCACCUGAGACCCAAGAAGACCAGAGACGUGUACCAUAAGGAGGAGCCACCUGGAGCUGCAGAAGUGAGGGAGGCUCCUGCAGCCUGUGCCCCUCCCUCACAUCCUUGGUCCUCAGAGCCCUUACAGCUAGAGGGGUCCUAUUCUGGAUAGCUCAAGCCCCAUCAAGCAACUUUGACACCCCUCUGCAACUAACCGGCUGUCUAGCCCAGCCCAGGCCAGCUAAGGUCACUCUGCAUUCUGUAAAGAAAAGACCUGCAGCCCAACGUGAUAGUGUACCAGUUUGUUUCUCUGUUGAUGCAAUAAAACAUUGAUCAAAAGCAACUAGAGAAGGAAGGGGUUUACUGGGCUUGUACUUUGAUAUUACAGUCCAUUGUAGAAGGGAACAGGGACACUGAAGGAAUGCUGAUGGAUCAGUCUGCUUGUUUUAAAAACAAUAUAACCUGGGACUGCCUGCCCAGGAGUGGUGUAGCCCACAGUGGGCUGGGCGGUUUCACAUCAACCAUCAAUCAAGAACAUG